rnacentral:pre_miRNA from 1 species
CAACUACUCCCUCUAUCCCAAAUUUCUUGUCUUAGAUUUGUCUAGAUACGGAUGUAUCUGUGACUUGAUACAUCCGUAUCUAGACAAAUCUAAGACAAGAAUUUUGGGACAGAGGGGGUACUUU